UCAGUCGGCCGGACGGCCGCUCCGGCAAGUGCCGAAAGGCCGCCGGGGAGGAAAGUCCGGGCUCCAUCGACAUACGGUGCCGGAUAACGUCCGGCGGGGGCGACCCCAGGGAAAGUGCCACAGAGAACGAACCGCUUCCUCUUUCUUCUCCCUCCCCCGCUUGCGGGGGAGGGUCGGGGUGGGGGCAGUAAGGGUGAAAAGGUGCGGUAAGAGCGCACCGCGUCGCCGGCAACGGGGACGGCAUGGUAAACCCCACCGGGAGCAAAACCGAAUAGGGACGGCAUCGCGGAUAGUUCGCUGCUCGCAGCGAUAACUCCGCAGGGCGAUGUCAGGCUCGCCGUCCGGGUAGGUUGCUCGAGGCGCUGUGCAAACAGUGUCCCAGAGGAAUGGCCGUCGCGCAUCGCCUCCGCAAGGAAGCGGUGCCCUCCAGAACCCGGCUUACAGGCCGGCUGAUACU
rfam:Rhodopseudomonas palustris TIE-1, complete genome.